rnacentral:rRNA from 1 species
UACGUAGGGGUGCAAGCGUUAAUCGGAAUUACUGGGCGUAAAGCGUGCGCAGGCGGUGAUGUAAGACAGAUGUGAAAUCCCCGGGCUCAACCUGGGAACUGCAUUUGUGACUGCAUCGCUGGAGUACGGUAGAGGGGGGAUGGAAUUCCGCGUGUAGCAGUGAAAUGCGUAGAUAUGCGGAGGAACACCGAUGGCGAAGGCAAUCCCCCUGGACCUGUACUGACGCUCAUGCACGAAAGCGUGGGGGAGCAAACAGG